UGCCAGCAAAAUCAAGCAGCGCAAAACUUCAGUUGCUACAGGCAACAACGACGGUCAUACUUUCAUUUCCAGGCAGCAACGAAAUGCGCAACGUGAAAUGCAAUUCAC
rnacentral:lncRNA from 1 species